GGAAGCGUAGCUCAGAUGGUAGAGCGCUCGCUUAGCACGCGAAAGGUACCAGGAUCGAUAACCUGCGCCUCCA